AUCCCGAAGUAAAUGCAUCAAAGUUUACUGUAGCUUGUCUAAAGUUGUCUUAAGUUCUUUCAAAGUGCUGUAAAAAUGUAGUUAUUGAUUAUGAUGAGCUAUACCAGGUCUUUUAUUCUCAACUGGUAAUUGCUUUGAUAAGAUAACUGGUUCCUGAUUUUUUGAUUAUGAAGCUAAACUUUUGAUUUAUAUGCAAGUGUAGUCACAUUAGAUUGUAGGUGUUAUUCAGCCCAUGGAUAAUGUUAUGAUAUACUUUAAAUCUGGCAUUUGUUGGCACACUUUUGAUAUCUGUUUAAGUCUUAAACUUUACGCACUGCCAUCAGCCUUUGUAGUCGCUAACUGAAAUCAAAUUCAAUAUUAAUGCUGACUUGUCUCACUUUGCCAAGUUUAUUUCCCUCUAAAGGAGUUGAACCUUUUUGUGUUCAUAGUCUUUUUGCGCGUCAUGUUGGGAGGCCUCCCAGCAGGGGAUUUUUAUCUUCCCCUGCAAAACUAUGCGUUACUCGCCUUAGGGAUACAGGGCUAUCCUGCAUAGUUUCUUUCAAAAAUCAGAUUGUAGGUUGCAGGAUUAGAGCGCGUUUCUUUUCUUUAGGAGGACACAAACCUGGCAGAGAGACAACUCGGAUUAUUUAAGUGAAAUACAAAUAAAAUCUAUUAUUAUUAUUAUUACUUUUUAUCUUUCGCUACGAUGACGUGAAAUAAAACUUUUAUUCUGUGGGCUGAAUUCAGACAGAAAUCAGACAGAAUUUGGCUUAAUGUUAAAGACUGUUCAAGUACCCUCUUGUAGCAGGAGUGAGCAGCUGCAGCUUUUUAAUUUAUUUUUCGUUAUUUGAUUUGUUUUUUGGAUUGACUUGGUGUCUGGAGCUUUGUGGUUAACAGUGAUCAUGUAAACGUGUAAACACAAGUGGUCUUUUGCCUCUUAUUUGCAAAGCUGGCAGCUGGUUGAAAUGAUAGGACUUUAUGACUUAGUGGGAUUUUUGAUAGAGCAUAGGGUUAACGUCUCAUCAUACACUAGCUAUUUCAGCGAACAAGUGUCUGUAGUCCGUUAUUACCCAUGACUUUCUUUAAAAUUUCACAAUUUAGGCAGCUUGUAGUGUCAUAGAUGCUUAAUCCCAAUGUCUCGGUUGGUUGCAUGAGAAACUGCUAUCUCUUAGAUGUGUUGGCGAAGUUCCUCCUGAUUUUUGUAUACUUACCCUAAAGUUUCUCUCCGCUUUAACUCUUGUUGAGUUAUGCAUUAAAUGAUUCCUCCAACUUGUCUCCAUAUCAAACUUUUUUCUCCCUGCAGCCUUCCACCACCCACUGUUGCUGUUGCAUCUGCUAAAGGUAGCCGUAUCCUGAUUCACUGCGUCUUCAUGUGUUGGGUAAGAAGUCUCAUUAGAGUACUAACAAUGUAAACACCUUUUAAAUGCUUGAUCUAAUUUACCCAAAUGGUUCAUCAGUUUAGGACAAAGAAAAAAAAUCAUUGAAUUUGACAUUCUUGGGGUCAGUAACCUGACCUCUAAAUGUUUGGGAAACCAUGCAAAAGAUCGCAAGCUCUCUGCAUGACCCAACAGCAUCGAUGUUUGAGUUAUUUAAUUGCUCAAUUUUUAAAUCAGUCAAGAUUUUAUGAGCUGGGUCUUCUUCACACAACAGAGAACAAGGUAAAUUGAGUCGACUCGUAACAUGGUAAGGCAUUUCGUCCUUCCCCUUCUUCUCUGUGUGUGAGGAAAUCUGGCCACGGAUCCUGACUGAGUGGCAUACCAUGGCUGUGCCGUUUCCAAAAUCAGACAAGGAUCCAUCUGAUUUUGUGACUCAGCCUGUCGUGAUAUGCAUUUAACUUCCUCCGAAACAAAGGAUUGGAAUCGGCAGGUUUGUAGUGUAAAUCACAUCACAUCACUUGUAGAUGGUGAAGCAUUUGUUUAAAUUGGGGUCAAGCAUUUUCAGGUGUCUGCUUUGUCAAUACUCUGGUGCCACAUCUUGCUAAACACACAAGAAGCUCUGAAUUGUGAAACUGCUGCCUCUUGCAGAUGUUACAACAGCAAUGGCUGUUGAAAGGCUGCAGGGAGAGAAAAGGAGAUCUGAGGACAGGAAAGUGGAAUUGAUUUCAUGCUUAGCAAAAUGAGGGUUUCAGCAGAGGACCUUUUUGUGGCGAGGCUACGGAAUUUAGAAAGGAACGUUUGUCUGGGCAACUGGGAGAUUUACAGUUUUUCAUGCAGCCCAACCAAGACGUUGGGGUUAGCAUCAUCCCAAAUGGCUGCCAAAGAUUGCUUGUAACUGUCAGUGUAGGACAGGAAAGGCAGGUAUAGGUGAGGGAGGGCAUCCAUCGGUAAGCUCUGACUGGAUGUGAGAACCUGUCACACUGGACCAGAGAUGAAGGCUGCAGCACAUUCCUGGAUCAGAGGACUCCAUGUUGGACACCACGACCUGGAGAAGUCCCGUUGUGGAUGCCUGCAGUGAUAACCUAGCCCAAGAUGAACCGACCCUUCUACGACUAGGACUUCGCCCAAGAUGAACCAACCUUUCCCACGGGAUGUCUUCAGAUGUUGGACCCUGCCAAACUGUAUACAUGCCUCAAUGGCUGCUACGUCACUCUGCCCAACAGGACAUGGUCACAGAGAUUUUUUAGAUUUUUUUUAAAUGGACUUUAACCCCCCCGUCCCUACUGACCCACAACCACACAUGACAAAACACUGUACAUGUGAUGCAUCACCACACUAAGAUACAGACACUGCUACUUUCAGCUUGUAAUAUUAGACAUUGAAAACUUGUA